UAAGAUAAUAAAUGUAGCCUUGUACCUAUUGAAGAAGACUGGGCCCUGUUCAAUAAGAGAUGCGAGAAAUGGGGAGCUAGUUAAUGUUUCCAAUCAAGGGGAUGACAUGGAAAGCAGACCCAUCUAGUGUGGACGUGUUAAUAGAAAGACAGGAGGAGAGAAGGCCGUCGUCUAUACAAUGGCCAGGAUGGAGAAGCUAAGCCGUUAAGACCAGCUGGGGCAAAUGGAAGAAGACCUCAGGUUAUAUAGUAGCUUGCGGUUGCCAAGGCCAAAAUUUCUGUCCCAAAUUAUUGCCUUUUUUGAAAAGCUUAAUUGACCUAUACAUACAAAGACACAAACCCUUAGCAUCUGCUAGACUAAGUCCUAGGAUGAUGCGUCUGCAAUAAUCCUUCCCCUGGUAAUUAGCCUCUGUCCUGGCUUGUUCUGGUUUUGUUCUGGUUCUCAGUCCAAAAAGAUACAGUCUCAACAAAUGCCAAAGAACAGGAGUGAGUUUCCUCCUGACCUCUCUGCUCCUUGGUUAUGAUCUUAGCUCCCUGCGUCCCUUCCCAGCACAGGACGCCAAUGAAUGUUGCAAUCUCCACCUUUCCCAGCUUGGAGAAGCGUAGCCCUGUCUGUCCUCACCGUAUUCCCUUCCAGUGAUCAUCUGAAGGAUUAAUUAUACAACACACUCAUGUUGAUCGAUGAAUAAGUGGCCAGAAGACCAGAAGCCAUAUGGAAUAGAAAACGUUCACUUUCUCUAGAAACCAUGGCCCUGAAGGAGGAAGAACGUUGAAGUCAAGAGCCAUCACAACAAGGCUGCACACUACCCGCAUGACUCAUCACUGCCAAUGUUCAUCUCCAUGACGUGGCUCAGUAGUGUUUUCCAGAUUCCCCCAUUGUGAAGUUUCUCUUUUUCCCCCUUUACCUUCUGGACUCUUUGAAAGAAAGUAACUACGUGCAGCCCACACUUAAGGAGUGGGGAUUGAGGUUCCCCCUCCUUGAGGAGGGACUAGCUUUGUAAAUUAUUUGGAACUCUCUGCAUAUGUAUUAAAUGAUUUAUUUAUAUCA